CGUGAAGCAGGAGCUUGCUCCUGUGGAAAGUGGCAGACGGGUGAGUAACGCGUGGGAAUUUACCCAGUGGUUCGGAAUAACUUCGGGAAACCGGAGCUAAUACCGGAUACGCCCUCCGGGGGAAAGAUUUAUCGCCAUUGGAUGAGCCCGCGUCGGAUUAGCUUGUUGGUGAGGUAAGAGCUCACCAAGGCGACGAUCCGUAGCUGGUCUGAGAGGAUGAUCAGCCACACUGGGACUGAGACACGGCCCAGACUCCUACGGGAGGCAGCAGUGGGGAAUAUUGCACAAUGGGCGCAAGCCUGAUGCAGCCAUGCCGCGUGAGUGAUGAAGGCCUUAGGGUUGUAAAACUCUUUCACCGGUGAAGAUAAUGACGGUAGCCGGAAAAGAAGCCCCGGCCAACUCCGUGCCAGCAGCCGCGGUAAUACGGAGGGGGCUAGCGUUGUUCGGAAUUACUGGGCGUAAAGCGCGCGUAGGCGGGCUGGUUAGUUGGGGGUGAAAUNCCGGGGCUCAACCCCGGAACUGCCCUCAAUACUGCCGGUCUAGAGUUUUGAGAGAGGUGAGUGGAAUUCCUAGUGC
rnacentral:rRNA from 1 species